rnacentral:lncRNA from 1 species
GAACAGCUGAGGUAGCGUUCAGUUUCAGCCCCAGUGCCAUUAUGAUGGAUGUUUACAUCUCUUCAUUGAGAGCCAAUUAUCUCGCUUUUGUGUGAGGCCCCAGGAUCACUCAUGCUGCCAGGCUGCACACAGCACUGUUGGAUCUAGCUGAACGAAUUGUUUUCCCUGUCUCUGUUCAGCAUUUGGAGCUGCUACCUGAACUCUCAGCAAGUCCACGAUGAUCCCUUCACCUUUGCCUUGUUGAUUAUACUUAGGUUUCCGGAAAGAAGACAUACGUCUGUACUGACCUCCACCAUGGAAAAUGAGUGGGCGUUUGAACUGAGUAGACAAGCACAGUCUUAUUUUCAGAAACUGCAAUAAC